rnacentral:rRNA from 1 species
AUGGCGGGUACGACAUGGCGAGCGCUGUUGCUCCUUGGCGUCGUCCUGACGGCGCAGCUGUGCCUGUGCACGGCGUACGUCGGCGGCGGGUUUAGUGUGGAGUUCAUCCACCGGGACUCUCCCAAGUCGCCGCUACACGACCCGUCGCUCACCUCCCACGACCGCGUGCUUGCCGCCGUGCGGCGUUCCGCGGCGCACUCGUACGCCGUCGGCGAUCCUUCCGGCGGCGUGGCCGAGAUCAGGUCCAGUCCGUACGAGUACCUGAUGUACGUCAACAUCGGCACGCCGCGCACCCGGAUGCUCGCCAUCGUCAGCACCGGCAGCAACCUCGUGUCGUUCAAAUGCACCAACGGGACCUCCGGUCCUCCGCCAGCCGCUGGGGCCGCGCCGGUGAGCUACGUGUUCGACACGUCCUCCUCGUCGUCCUACGGCCUCGUGGCCUGCCGGUUGCCCUCGUGCCACGCGGUCCGCGGCACCUCCUGCGACGCCAACUCCAUCUGCCAGUACCACUUCUCCUACGGCGACGGCUCCACGACAGACGGCAUCCUCUCCACCGAGACCUUCACCUUCGACGACGCUCCCGGCGGCUGUGUUGGAUGCCGCGAACGUCCGCAGCUGCAACUGACCAGAGUCAACUUCGGCUGCAUCAAGAACACGAACGGCGGCAACCCGUUCCUCUUGGCCGGCAAUGUCGGCCUGGGCGCCGGGAACAUCUCCCUCAUCAACCAGAUCGGCGCGGCGACAUCGCUCGGCCGGAGGUUCUCGUACUGCCUCGCGCCCUUCUCCGUCAACGCCUCCUCCAUCAUCAACUUCGGCGCCCGCGCCGCCGUGACGGAGCCGGGCGCGGUGACCACGCCGCUGAUCCCCUCGGCCGUGGACGCUUACUACACCAUCCUGCUCACGUCCGUCAAGAUCGGGAACUCGACCAUCGUACCUCCGAAGCGGUCCCCCGUCAUCGUCGACUCCGGUACGCCACUGACGUUCCUCGACAAGGCGCUGCUGGACCCGAUCGUGGGAGAGCUCACGAAGAACAUCAAGCUCCAGCGGAAGCCGUCCCCGGAGAAGCUGCUGGACCUGUGCUACGACGUGGGCGGGACGAUUCAGGACUGGGUGCUGGAGAAGCUGUUCCCGGAAGUGACGCUGGGGUUUGGCGGCGGCGCCGUGAUCACCCUGAAAGCGAAGAACGCGUUCGUACAGCCGCAGCCGGGGACCGCGUGCUUGGCCAUGUCGGCGGCGACGGACAAUGUGGCGGUCAUCGGGAACAUCGCGCAGCAGAACUUCUGGGUCGGCUUCGACCUGGACAAGGGCGCCAUCACCUUCGCCGCUGCCGACUGCGCGAAAUCCUACCCCUCUCCUCCCGCCUCUAAUCAGCUUGAGUAG